rnacentral:rRNA from 1 species
CUCAGGAUGAACGCUGGCGGCGUGCUUAACACAUGCAAGUCGAACGAAGCACUUUAUUUGAUUUCCUUCGGGACUGAUUAUUUUGUGACUGAGUGGCGGACGGGUGAGUAACGCGUGGGUAACCUGCCUUGUACAGGGGGAUAACAGUUGGAAACGGCUGCUAAUACCGCAUAAGCGCACGGCAUCGCAUGAUGCAGUGUGAAAAACUCCGGUGGUAUAAGAUGGACCCGCGUUGGAUUAGCUAGUUGGUGAGGUAACGGCCCACCAAGGCGACGAUCCAUAGCCGACCUGAGAGGGUGACCGGCCACAUUGGGACUGAGACACGGCCCAGACUCCUACGGGAGGCAGCAGUGGGGAAUAUUGCACAAUGGGGGAAACCCUGAUGCAGCGACGCCGCGUGGAGGAAGAAGGUCUUCGGAUUGUAAACUCCUGUUGUUGAGGAAGAUAAUGACGGUACUCAACAAGGAAGUGACGGCUAACUACGUGCCAGCAGCCGCGGUAAAACGUAGGUCACAAGCGUUGUCCGGAAUUACUGGGUGUAAAGGGAGCGCAGGCGGGAGAACAAGUUGGAAGUGAAAUCCAUGGGCUCAACCCAUGAACUGCUUUCAAAACUGUUUUUCUUGAGUAGUGCAGAGGUAGGCGGAAUUCCCGGUGUAGCGGUGGAAUGCGUAGAUAUCGGGAGGAACACCAGUGGCGAAGGCGGCCUACUGGGCACCAACUGACGCUGAGGCUCGAAAGUGUGGGUAGCAAACAGGAUUAGAUACCCUGGUAGUCCACACCGUAAACGAUGAUUACUAGGUGUUGGAGGAUUGACCCCUUCAGUGCCGCAGUUAACACAAUAAGUAAUCCACCUGGGGAGUACGACCGCAAGGUUGAAACUCAAAGGAAUUGACGGGGGCCCGCACAAGCAGUGGAGUAUGUGGUUUAAUUCGACGCAACGCGAAGAACCUUACCAAGUCUUGACAUCCCUUGACAGGCAUAGAAAUAUGUUUUCUCUUCGGAGCAAGGAGACAGGUGGUGCAUGGUUGUCGUCAGCUCGUGUCGUGAGAUGUUGGGUUAAGUCCCGCAACGAGCGCAACCCUUAUGGUCAGUUACUACGCAAGAGGACUCUGGCCAGACUGCCGUUGACAAAACGGAGGAAGGUGGGGAUGACGUCAAAUCAUCAUGCCCUUUAUGACUUGGGCUACACACGUACUACAAUGGCGUUAAACAAAGAGAAGCAAGACCGCGAGGUGGAGCAAAACUCAGAAACAACGUCCCAGUUCGGACUGCAGGCUGCAACUCGCCUGCACGAAGUCGGAAUUGCAAGUAAUCGUGGAUCAGCAUGCCACGGUGA